rnacentral:rRNA from 1 species
UACGUAGGGAGCAAGCGUUGUUCGGAUUUACUGGGCGUAAAGGGCGCGUAGGCGGCGCGGUAAGUCACUUGUGAAAUCUCUGAGCUUAACUCAGAACGGCCAAGUGAUACUGCUGUGCUAGAGUGCGGAAGAGGCAACCGGAAUUCUUGGUGUAGCGGUGAAAUGCGUAGAUAUCAAGAGGAACACCUGAGGCGAAGGCGGGUUGCUGGGCCGACACUGACGCUGAUGCGCGAAAGCGUGGGGAGCAAACAGG